rnacentral:rRNA from 1 species
UGGGGAAUCUUGCGCAAUGGGCGAAAGCCUGACGCAGCCAUGCCGCGUGAAUGAUGAAGGUCUUAGGAUUGUAAAAUUCUUUCACCGGGGACGAUAAUGACGGUACCCGGAGAAGAAGCCCCGGCUAACUUCGUGCCAGCAGCCGCGGUAAUACGAAGGGGGCUAGCGUUGCUCGGAAUUACUGGGCGUAAAGGGAGCGUAGGCGGACAUUUAAGUCAGGGGUGAAAUCCCGGGGCUCAACCUCGGAAUUGCCUUUGAUACUGGGUGUCUUGAGUGUGAGAGAGGUAUGUGGAACUCCGAGUGUAGAGGUGAAAUUCGUAGAUAUUCGGAAGAACACCAGUGGCGAAGGCGACAUACUGGCUCAUUACUGACGCUGAGGCUCGAAAGCGUGGGGAGCAAACAGGAUUAGAUACCCUGGUAGUCCACGCCGUAAACGAUGAUUGCUAGUUGUCGGGAUGCAUGCAUUUCGGUGACGCAGCUAACGCAUUAAGCAAUCCGCCUGGGGAGUACGGUCGCAAGAUUAAAACUUAAAUGAAUUGACGGGGGUCAUAGCUGUUUCCUG